GUUUCCAACCUAAACAACAGCAGCGUUGCUUUUUAGAUACUAGAAAACUAUAAAUCCCUAUUUCUUACACUUCUAUCUAAAUUCGGCAUAGAGCGUUAAAACAUUCUAGAAAGUUACUUCAGUUUAUUUUAAUCCUUUGCACUCUGAACCAUUCUCGACGUUGGCUACCAGCUACUCAGCGCUACUUUGUGGCAGAAACGUGCAUUUACAGACUCUCGUAUUAUUUAGUAUGGUUUUGGAACUCUAACAUAUUAUAAUGAUAUUGGAGUUAUAUGAAUUGGUUGAAAUCGAGAAAUGUAUAUCUGCAAAAAAAUCAAUAUUUUAUUUGUUAUAAUUUUGUACAGUGUGAUAAACUUUAAAACACUCCCCAAAAUGCAUUGCAGGCUAAUUAAUCACGUUUGACAAUAAUAAGUUGUUUGACGCCUGCCACAGAUGUUUUCUUGUCAGAACAAACAAUGCAAUCCCGUUUUUUUGUCCCACAUCAGGAAUAUGUAGUUUAUUCUCUAAUCUAUUGUCCGCAGAAGAUGUGGAUGGACGUUCUGCCAAUGUUCUAAUAAAAAAUAUGGAUAAAUAUAUGGGUUGAAAAUUUCUAAUUGUUAUUACUAACUCACAAGAUGAUAUUUACCAAAAAAACUUUUACCAAACAAUUUAUUUACCAAGAGAAGAAUUACUUUUUCGAUUUUCUCACUCGUUAGAUCUAUCUAUCUAAGGCGACGCUUCAAACCAGACUGAGUUCAGCUUUAGAAAUCUUUUAAAUACAGUGCGUGCUAUAUUUGCAUACCGACCUUUCUUCUAUAAACUUGCCUUAUCACUUUUUUUAAGUGGCGCCUUUGAAGUGUUCGGACCGUAGUGAGCACGCUUAUCGCGUUCUCGUAUGACACAAAACUUGCUGACAUUUCUUUGUAUAUAUCUUAGUAAUUUUAUUAUAUUUUGAUUUGAUUUCUUGUGCCAUUUCAAGAGAAAAUUUCAGGGAAGCAUGCAUGUCUCAAAAAAUUGUGCUGAAAUAACUCAAUUACCCGUAAUCACUAAUCAAAUUUAAUGUCCCAUGAGAGGGGACAUCCGAGUGAUAUGCUAGAAUUACGAUAUCCCAUGAGAGGGGACAGCGAAGUGCAAAGGGUUAAUACGUUCUGUGUUAGUCUGAUUUUUGGAUACUUUCUGUUUAGGUCGUCAGGGGUGUAUAUGCCCCACGUUAUACGAUUAGUUUUAUUUUUAACAUAUGUCUUACAAUCUGUACAAUAAUACAGACUAUAAUUAUCAAGAAAAGGGUGUAAUUUAAUUUUCAAAGAAUUAUUUUAAUAAACACGUGGUUGAACAUUACUUUACCAUACGAAUUGUAUCAAUGAAUGGAAAGUUCAGGGUAGGGCGCAUACGUCCCACACGGCACAGAACGGGUUAAUAAAAUUAAGUUUCCUGUUACCAGCAGUUGUUAAUUUUUUCUACGCGCAGGCACUAUAUUAAACGACAUGAUAGGAAAAAAUCGUAGUUUCCAAAGAAUUACAAAUCGACAUCGGAAAAGAAGCCACAGUGGGGUGAUUAUUGAUGAAAUUUGAAAUAUUGAAUCGUUUCGAAUCUGAAUAAAGAAAACUUCAAACUCUAUGCGACGGUUCUUCUGUCGCCAUAGGUUUUUUAUGGAUUGGAAAAUACUGCAGAUCAGGAAUCGGUUGAAGAGUUUAUUUUCUUCCUUUCCACAUAAUUCAUACAGAGAGAAUAGUUCUUUUUGACGUCUUUUCGUAAAAAUCGAUCAGUUUAUAUAUAUUACUUUGAAUCGAAGAUCGUUCGAUCAGGAAGAAACGAACAUGGAAAAGAGAGAAUGAAAAAGAGAAGUCGAAAAAAAGAAAGAGAGUCAAGGUGAUGGAAAAUAUAUACAAGCCAAAAAAGAAGAUAAGAUUUUGUUCUAUACGGCCUUUGUGGAAAAAAUAAAAAGAAGGAGAUAGGAAUUGGAUGAGCAGACAUAACAGCCUCUUCCUUGAAAUGAAAUAUUGUGAAUUUGUAGAGAUUAAAGGAUGUUUCAUCAAACUUUGAUAGAGGAGAUUGUCUCAUCCGUGGUUUAUUGAUUUUAUGGAUAUAACAAUUUGUUUUGGUAAUUAAAAUUUGGAUCAAUAAGUGGUAGGAUUGGUGCAGGUUUGGAAAUCUUGUUACAAGUAUUUUAAAAUUACAAGAGGACUAGAUUUGGGAAGUUGCACAGUUUGAUAGGAUAUAUAUGUUAAAUGUAACAUAUGUGUAAGUUUGAUUUAGGGUUUAUGUGUUCUUUAAUUUAUUAAUUCCUUCAGCUAAUUUGUCAGCUGUUACUCAGGAUACUUCAAAUUUGUUGUAGAUUCUCAAACUAUUAUAGAUAAACUUGAGAAGAGAAGAUAGACUAAACAUCAUCAAUGGUACCUAUACAUUUAAGAUUUAGUGCGAAUAUGUUUCUUCUUUUUAGGUUUGUGAGAAACAGCCUACGGUUGUAGUAUAUAGUUGGAGUGUAUGGUAGCAGUGUAUGUGGAUUUUGAUCUACCUGUAGCAUAAUAUAACUAAUUAUUACUGCUCUCUAAUUUAAUAAAUGCAGUUGCAUUUAAAAUUCCAAUGUUUUCAAAAGAGCAAGUUAGUUUUUCCACUUAUCUGAUAGGUUAGAGCUAGCUUUUCAAACAGGGAUUGUGUAAAAUGACAAAAAAUACUGAAACGUUCCUUUUUCAUAUGCAUCUGUUCUGCAGUGUUAUGUUAUGUUUUAACAUAGGAUUCAACCACUAAAAUUCUUAUGGUUUUUUCUAAAUUUACAAGUACAUGCGUAUAGAAUAUAACUUACCAUUAAAUUCUACGGAUGUAUAUUGUACAUACAAGAUGGCUAUUAUGUAUAAAUAAGAGAUCUCAAAUAUAUAAGUGAUAUAAAGCACUGAUACAUAUCCUUUUUGGGAUCUUGAAAUAUAUAUUAUAUUUUUGCAUCAAAAGAGUUAAAGGAUGUUAUAGAUAGGAGAAAAACAGUAGCAAAUUAAUGUAAAGAUAAUAUAAAAAUGUAAAAAUAAUGUAAAAGUAAAGAUAAUGUAAAAAUAAAUCAGUGGAAGAUAAAAGAUGCAAGAGCAAAACAUUACAUAAUGAGAACAAUAUACAAAACAAUAAGGCCAGAAGUUCUAAUUCGUGAGACAUAAACAGAAAUGUAUACAAAAUUAAAAAUCAUGUAUAAGAAAUCAAAUUCAAGAAAAAGUACUGUUAUUUUAAGAACAAUACAACUCUAAAUAUAACAAGAGCAAAAACAUUAAGGGGGGCUUUAAUUUUUUGAUAAACUUUUUCUUUAGGCAUAAUUGAUCUGUGACCGGCGGUAUAGAGAUUCAAAAAUAAAUGUUGUGAUCUAUCUACUUAUCUACUUAUCUAUUAUCUAUCUACUAUUUACCAUUUGCCAUCUACAAUCUAUGAUCUACUAUUUACCAUCUAUGAUCUACCAUCUACGACUUACGAUCAACGAUCUACCAUCUACUACCUAGCACUUUUGAAAGUAGUUGGGUACUUGCUAAUUUAUAAUACUGACAAAUUCUUCAACGGGUUGCAUCAUUGGAACGUGAACAACAUUUAUUGGCCGAGUAUAAACUUUAAUUAAUUUCUAAUUUAAAAUUCAAUUUUAUUAUGAAUAUAUUAUAUUACAAAAAUAGAAAAGAAAAUAUUACGAUUAUAUGAAUUAGUUGUAAACGAUUAUUGGCUGCCGAGGCACAGCUUGGAAGAUUGGCGGCUGGUCUGAAUACCAUGAAAAGUCGUACUGCACAGCAUCAAGAAGAAUUGCCUGUAUAUUCGCGCGGUACCGCGGCUUUGCAAUUGAAAAUGGGAAAGACCGGGGCUAGUUUGACUAUGCCUAGAGCACUUUUGUCGAAACUUGACAAGAAAAAUCGUGAUCGGUGUAUAUAGCUGCUGAAACUAGUUUGGUCCACUGACAUGAGAGACGCUUAUAAGCGCCCAGAAAAUUUCAUCGAUAAUAAUUCCGGCAGAUCUUAUUUCAGUAAAACUUAUUUUUUUGUUUUAUCCUUAAAAUGACAAGUGGGGUUAAGAAAAAGGCUAGAAAAAAUGCAUGCAAAUAUGAUAUAACAAAUGAUUCUGAUUCUGAGGAAACAAAUGAUUUUAAAAUGUCUGUUCCUUUUUACAAGUGUAAAAUUAAAAAAUGUCAUUUUUUAAUCUCUUCAUCAGAAUCAGAAGAGAAUAGCAUAAAAACUACACUAUAGUAAAAAAUAUGUAAAAAUAAAUUUUCAUGAACACAGAGAAAUUUCUAACUUAUACUUCAUGUAUAAGUAUACUAACUUAUACGAACAUUUGAUGAUGAGAAUAAUGAAAUUGUAGCAAAUGUAAAUGGUAAUUAUCUAUUCUCGAUUUUUUUCAAAUUUUCUUUUCGGAAGGACUCAGAGAAUUAUUUUGGGGCAAAUGAUAAUAUUUGAAGAUAUAUCAUCAAAAUUGAUAGGAAAGUCCGGACAGAUAAUAAUAACAUUUCUUAAGCUAUACCUUGGAAAAGGUCAUACAUUCAUGACCGAUAAUUGGUACAACAGUCCCAGUUUAUUCCUCGAGUUACAUAAAAAUUUAACCAACGUAUAUGAAACGAUAAGAAAAAAAAAGUUGGGUAUACCGAAAUUAAAUAAAAAGAUAAAAAAGAAUGUAUUUCGUUCAACAAAAAAAACAUUAGCGUUGAAAUGGAUAAACAAAAGCGAAAUGUGGAUGAUUUUCAUUUAUCAUGAACCACCCAAUAUGAUUGAUACAAACAAGAUACAUUACCUAACAAAAUAAAAAAUAAUCAAACCAUGAUAUGUAUAAUUGAUUAUAAUAACACAACGGGAGCGAUUGACAAAGUUGAUCAGAUUUUAUAUAAUCUGUAUUCUAUUAAAAAAAGUUUAAAAUGAUACAAGAAAUUCUGUUUUUAUUUAUUUGAUUUUGCUGUAUAAUACAUUUUUAUAAUACAUUUUUAUAA